rnacentral:rRNA from 1 species
UACGUAGGGACCAAGCGUUGUUCGGAUUUACUGGGCGUAAAGGGCGCGUAGGCGGCGUGGUAAGUCACUUGUGAAAUCUCUGAGCUUAACUCAGAACGGUCAAGUGAUACUGCUGUGCUAGAGUGCGGAAGGGGCAAUCGGAAUUCCUGGUGUAGCGGUGAAAUGCGUAGAUAUCAGGAGGAACACCUGUGGUGUAGACGGCUUUCUGGACCAUAGCUGACGCUGAGACACGAAAGCGUGGGUAGCAAACAGG